UCUCUCUCACCUUAAAUCACCAUUAAAGCUCAUUUUGAGCUUGAAGAACCCUAAAUCCCAACCUAGAAAUUUUAUUUACCAACCUUAAACCUUGUUGAUUUCACUUGAAAGGAAGUUUGAGCAAGAAAGAAAGAAAGAAAGAAGAAUAAAAGAUAGGGUUUUGAAGCUUUAACAAAAGUGGAAAAGAAUACCGGGACAGAACCCGAGGGGUCGAGUCAAGGCCAAUAGGCGACUCGUCUGAGAUAAGAGCAAGGAAAAAGCAGCAGAGUGAGCUGCUACUGAGUUGAAGAUCACAUCAAGCUUUUGUACGGGUAUUGUUUUAUACCCUUAUGGUUAUUUUGAUGUAAAUACUGUAAUGUCAUAAGUAUCAAUGUAAAUUGAGCAGUUGUAAAUAAAUUGUAAUAAUAUUAU